rnacentral:rRNA from 1 species
ACUCCUACGGGAGGCAGCAGUGGGGAAUAUUGCACAAUGGGCGCAAGCCUGAUGCAGCCAUGCCGCGUGUAUGAAGAAGGCCUUCGGGUUGUAAAGUACUUUCAGCAGUGAGGAAGGGUGAGUUAAUAGCNUGCAUCUUUGAUCGUUGAUGCUGCAGAAGAAGCACCGGCUAACUCCGUGCCAGCAGCCGCGGUAAUACGGAGGGUGCGAGCGUUAAUCGGAAUUACUGGGCGUAAAGCGCAUGCAGGUGGUUUGUUAAGUCAGAUGUGAAAGCCCGGGGGCUCAACCUCGG